AUUGAACGCUGGCGGCAUGCCUUACACAUGCAAGUCGAACGGUAACAGGUCUUCGGAUGCUGACGAGUGGCGAACGGGUGAGUAAUACAUCGGAACGUGCCCGAGAGUGGGGGGUAACGAGGCGAAAGCUUUGCUAAUACCGCAUACGAUCUCAGGAUGAAAGCAGGGGACCGCAAGGCCUUGCGCUCACGGAGCGGCCGAUGGCAGAUUAGGUAGUUGGUGGGAUAAAAGCUUACCAAGCCGACGAUCUGUAGCUGGUCUGAGAGGACGACCAGCCACACUGGGACUGAGACACGGCCCAGACUCCUACGGGAGGCUGCAGUGGGGAAUUUUGGACAAUGGGCGCAAGCCUGAUCCAGCCAUGCCGCGUGCAGGAUGAAGGCCUUCGGGUUGUAAACUGCUUUUGUACGGAACGAAAAGACUCUGGUUAAUACCUGGGGUCCAUGACGGUACCGUAAGAAUAAGCACCGGCUAACUACGUGCCAGCCGCCGCCGUAAUAC
rnacentral:rRNA from 1 species